CGAAGGAUGCAAGCGUUAUCCGGAUUCAUUGGGUUUAAAGGGUGCGUAGGCGGCCUAAUAAGUCAGUGGUGAAAUCUCCUCGCUUAACGAGGAAACUGCCAUUGAUACUGUUGGGCUUGAGUACAGAUGCUGUGGGCGGAAUAUGACAUGUAGUGGUGAAAUACAUAGAGAUGUCAUAGAACACCGAUUGCGAAGGCAGCUCACAAAACUGUAACUGACGCUGAGGCACGAAAGUGCGGGGAUCAAACAGGAUUAGAUACCCUGGUAGUCCGCACUGUAAACGAUGAUUACUCGCUGCUAGAGGGCAACUUUUAGUGGCUUAGCGAAAGCGAUAAGUAAUCCACCUGGGGAGUACGCCGGCAACGGUG
rnacentral:rRNA from 1 species